rnacentral:rRNA from 1 species
UACGGAGGGUGCGAGCGUUAAUCGGAAUUACUGGGCGUAAAGCGCACGCAGGCGGUUUGUUAAGCUAGAUGUGAAAGCCCCGGGCUCAACCUGGGAUGGUCAUUUAGAACUGGCAGACUAGAGUCUUGGAGAGGGGAGUGGAAUUCCAGGUGUAGCGGUGAAAUGCGUAGAUAUCUGGAGGAACAUCAGUGGCGAAGGCGACUCCCUGGCCAAAGACUGACGCUCAUGUGCGAAAGUGUGGGUAGCGAGCAGG